rnacentral:rRNA from 1 species
UACGAAGGGUGCUAGCGUUGUUCGGAAUUACUGGGCGUAAAGCGUACGUAGGCGGCUUGGUAAGUCGGUUGUGAAAGCCCCGGGCUCAACCCGGGAAUUGCGACCGAAACUACUUCGCUCGAGUUUGGUGGGGGAUGGUAGAAUUCCUAGUGUAGGGGUGAAAUCCGUAGAUAUUAGGAGGAAUACCGGUGGCGAAAGCGACCAUCUACGCCAACACUGACGCUAAGGUACGAAAGCGUGGGGAGCAAACAGG